rnacentral:rRNA from 1 species
UACGGGGGGGGCAAGCGUUGUUCGGAAUUACUGGGCGUAAAGGGCUCGUAGGUGGCCAACUAAGUCAUACGUGAAAUCCCUCAGCUUAACUGGGGAACUGCGUCUGAUACUGGAUGGCUUGAGUUUGGGAGAGGGAUGCGGAAUUCCAGGUGUAGCGGUGAAAUGCGUAGAUAUCUGGGAGGAACACCGGUGGCGAAGGCGGGUCUCUGGGCAGUAACUGACGCUGAGGAGCGAAAGCGUGGGGAGCGAACAGG